rnacentral:lncRNA from 1 species
AACAUGAAUCAGUAAUAGCAGCUCGAGGUGUCUGUGGACAUUAUUAUUGACAAGAUAAGAUGUAAGCUACUAUACCAGCACUAUGCCUGCCUACCUGCUGCCACAUUCCUUGUCAUGAUAACCAUGGACUAAGCCUCUGAAACUCAUCCAGGCACUGAAGCUCUGGAAGCCCAGCGAGGACAACUCAGACUCAGGAGACAGAGGACUCUGUAGAAGAGGUGUUCCAGGGCCUGGGUGCCACCAGCCAGCUCCGCUAGAAGAAUGCUGUGAGAACAGGCUGGCACUGAGCUGGAGUGGCCAUCGUCACAAGGGUACCACCUGAAGGGUGGGCAGAGGGCCUCGGGGAGGAGCCACAUACUCUUCCUCCCUGAGCAGCCGCAGCAGGAUGUUUUUCUUAUUCUUGGGCCAGCUGUAAACAUGAGUGUUCUGAAGCCAGGUCGGCACAUGCUCCUGUGGAAGAGAGGGCAGGAACAAGGGUCACGGAAGGGAGCGAAGCCUGGAUUCCAGAUCCAGGGCUCAGUUCUGAACAGCUCUGGAUGCCUCCGUAGGUGUUCCCACCAGGCUGUCUUGGGAGCUGCUGGUUUGCUUUUGGAGAGUAUAGCACACGAAGCACUUUUGGCUUCUGGUGCAAGCUGUGUAUCUCAUUAUGGAAGCCAUAUGUGUGCAGCGUUUUCCGUCAGUCUCCCAGGCUACCUGCCCUUUGCAUGCCAUGUGCUUUUCACCACCUCACAUGAAAGGGGUAGGACUGAGGUCACGCUGAAUGAUGUGAAUUCCCCUGGGGCUUUGGGGGAAGGAUGCCAGGGCUGUGGGCUUAAUCUAAUUCAUGAUUCUUUCACUU